CUUCCCUGUGCUUGCUAGUAAGCUGGUAAUUUUGCUUACAGUUGAGAGUAAAAAGCAAUUCUAAAUUACAGUGAAUUUGCUGGCCCUGCUACAUAGUCUGGCCUCUGCUGAAGAAAGAAAAGGGAGAUGGAGGCAUGAAGGACUAUGGGUAAAGGUCAGGCACUACAGAAGCCCAGCUUGUGUUUAAAAAACAGGCUUUUGGACUUGUGUUCAGCAGAUGAAUCUUCAAGGCUUGGAGAAGA
rnacentral:lncRNA from 1 species